rnacentral:rRNA from 1 species
UACGUAGGGUGCGAGCGUUUAAUCGGAAUUACUGGGCGUAAAGCGUGCGUAGGCGGUUCGUCAAGUCUGAUGUGAAAGCCCCCGGGCUCAACCUGGGAACUGCAUUGGAAACUAGCGAGCUUGAGUGUGGCAGAGGGGGGGUGGAAUUCCACGUGUAGCAGUGAAAUGCGUAGAGAUGUGGAGGAACACCGAUGGCGAAGGCAGCCCCCUGGGCUAACACUGACGCUCAGGCACGAAAGCGUGGGGAGCAAACAGG